rnacentral:rRNA from 1 species
AAACAUGUCUUUUUGAAUUAAAUUUAAAGUCUGACCUGCCCACUGAAUAAUUUUAAAUGGCCGCAGUAUUCUGACUGUGCAAAGGUAGCAUAAUCAUUAGUCUUUUAAUUGAAGGCUGGUAUGAACGGUUGGACGAGGUAUAAGCUGUUUCAUAUAAAUUUAUAAUAGAAUUUUAUAUUUUAGUUAAAAAGCUAAAAUAUUAUUAAAAGACGAGAAGACCCUAUAAAUCUUUAUAAUUAAUAAUAACUAAAUUUUUUUGAUUUAUUUUAUUUUUUUAUUAUUAAUUAUUUUGUUGGGGUGAUGUUAAAAUUUAAUGAACUUUUAAUUUUUUAAAAUCAUUAAUUUAUGAAUUAUUGAUCCAUUAAUAAUGAUUAUAAGAUUAAGUUACUUUAGGGAUAACAGCGUAAUUUUUUUUGAGAGUUCAUAUCGACAAAAAAGUUUGCGACCUCGAUGUUGGAUUAAGGUAUAAUUUUGGGUGUAGCCGUUCAAAAAUUAAGUCUGUUCGACUUUUAAAUCCUUACAUGAUC